AAUCUACUUCAUUGCCCUCAUCCUCCACAGGCAGAGAUUCCCCUUUCAGGAGGUCAGAUAGAUCAAGAGAGUCAUUCAGGCCAUUCUGGAGACACCAUGGCACCUUUUCCUCCAGCAGGAACUCAUUCUUGCCACUGAAGCACAAAGUGCUUCCUCACAGAGAAAUUGAAGAUAUCCUGAAAGAAAUGUCCUACACACCUUUUCAAGAGCACGGUGAUUAUUUUCUGAGAUACUGGGAUGCUAGCAAUGAGUGGAGCAGACAACGUAUUUGUCAGGUGUUGAUCAGAAAUAUCAGGAGGGACUUUCUGACUUUCUGUAAGCUGGAAGACCUGGAGAGCUUGGAGCUGAGAGCAAGAAAACUCAUCCAGCACAACAGCUCAGCUUCUAACCAAGACCUUUGCAUUCAGAAGGAGAAACUAUAUUGCUGGAUUCUGGCAGCGAUGUUUGUUCAUGUUUCCACAACAAACAACGUGAAACUUAAAGCUCUGCUGAGGGGAAUGGUCUUUGUAAAACACACUGUUCCUUCAGGGGAGAGAAAUUAUGAGUAUCUGUGCAUUAGUGCCUACCAAAAAAUCAGAGCAGCCAUCUCCAUUGCUGUAAAGAAGCAAAGGCACUGGCCAAAUUUCAUAGAAACAUAUCUGAAGCACUUGGAAACUUUNNNNNNNNNNNNNNNNNNNNNNNNNNNNNNNNNNNNNNNNNNNNNNNNNNUUCCAGUCCAUCCAGAAGCAGCUCCAGAGAGUACCCUGGAUGAUAAGACAUGUCUUUACUCUUGUUAUUACUGAAAAGGUGUUUGAAGCCAAACUGCUUGCAGUUAGCCAGUCCUUCCUCCUCUAUGUGUGCACAAAGUUGGGGAAAAAUCACUGGGAGAUUUUAUUGGAAAUCACUGAGCGCAUCACCGAACAUAUCCAAGCCAGCCACACACAAGGGGCAGUAACAGAGUGCCUGGAUCUUCUCCAAAGCCUAUGGGAAUGGUGCAUAAGAACUGCCACCAAAGAGAAGAAGCCUUUGGUAAUGACCAUCCUCAAUCAUUUCUUCCAAAAGUUGCUUUACCACCCACUGAGUGAAGUAAGACACUGCAUCGCACUACUGCUCUUUAGUGAGAAUGGUGCAUGCAUGCAUGUUACUGAGCUGGGAAACAAAAUGAUUCCAGCUGAUCCUAGCCACGUUGAGGCAGCUCUCCAAGAUUAUCUGAAGCUCACCUUCCCCGAUUUAGCCCUCAAGGGACAGCUGAAGGCAAAUGACAAUAGCAUGAUCGUGCAAGGAGUCAUACCUGCAGGCAAUGUGAAGAUCUGCAUAGCGAAACAACAGACCCUGAAUGACAUCUUGCAGACGAACACCACCAACAGUGACUGUGAAAGGUUUCAAGAAGUGAUCAGAAUAGUGGUUCUGUGUGCAGAUAGGGAGUCCAUUGCCAAGCUGCAAAUGUCCAGUGCCUAUGGAGUGCCUCCUUUGUACAUGUUGGAAGAUGGGAACCCACUCUUGGCUUUCCUGCAGGAAAAGAGAAAUAAGCUCACCCUAUCCAAUAUGUUAGGCAUUUUAAAGGACAUUGCCAGAGCUGUCUGGUCCUGUCACCAGAAAAGGGUAUUACUUUGCGACGUCACACCAGCCAGCUUCAUCGUGUUCACAGGUGGUGGACAAGGAACAAGAGCUCUUCAGAUUCGGGCUAAGCUGUCUAAUUUCCUCCAGGCCAGGCUGGCUCCUUCAGAGGAUGAGAAAGAUUAUUCUGCUAGUGAUUUUCCUUAUGAAAACAUCAAAUACUCACAGGUCACAGGGGACAGUAAGGAACCACUGUCCAUAUACUUCAGUGCUCCUGAGUCCCUGAAGUAUCAUAUCUUCUCUGCUUUCUCUGACGCAUGGGCCAUUGCUGCGACAUUUUACUCCAUUCUCCUGUAUGGUGGGCAGACAUACUUUGAACUCAGGCACUUGCCUGUGUCCAGGUUCAUAGAAGAGAUGUGCAGUGGGCACAGAGCACAAAGACCAGACUCAAUUCCCCUGAAGCUGUGGGACAUGAUAGCCCCUAACUUGGAGCAUAAUGAGACAGAGCGUACAUCCAUGGAGGCAUUGGUAGAGCACUUGAAAAACUACCGUAGUACCCUGGCUUCAGGAUCCAUUUCAAGAGACAUCCCAGUAGGGUCGGGUCUGGACAAGCGGCAUGAGAUAACGAGUCAGUUCUCUCCCAUCUGCGAGGAAGAUAUCAUAAGGGGCUACGUUGACAGCAAAGGCAACUUCAAAGAGAGUGAUCCACCAAAUGUAUUUCCAGGCACGUGCGAAGACAGUGUUGAGUGGAAGUGA
ensembl:lncRNA